AAGCUGCGAUACGUAAUGUGAAUUGCAGAGCUCAGUGAAUCAUCGAAUCUUUGAACGCACAUUGCGCCUCCCGGCAUCCCGGGGGCACGCCUGUCCGAGCGUCAUCGCCCUCUCCAGGCCUUGUCAUGGCCUGCCGUUGAGCCCAUUGCCCCAGCGCGGGCAGGCUCCCAACCAACGCAACCGAAGGCCCCCAGGACCCCGAGCGCAGUGGCUGCAAAUGCUCGACGAGGGUUUGGGCGGCGACGGCGGAUUCAGGACCCAUGUGGGACUACUGGUUGACCUCGGAUCAGGCGGGGAUACCCGCUGAACUUAAGC
rnacentral:misc_RNA from 1 species